GACGAACGCUGGCGGCGUGCUUAACACAUGCAAGUCGAACGGAAAGGCCUCUUUCGGGGGGUACUCGAGUGGCGAACGGGUGAGUAACACGUGAGUAACCUGCCCUUGACUUUGGGAUAACUUCAGGAAACUGGGGCUAAUACCGGAUAGGAGCUCCUGCUGCAUGGUGGGGGUUGGAAAGUUUCGGCGGUUGGGGAUGGACUCGCGGCUUAUCAGCUUGUUGGUGGGGUAGUGGCUUACCAAGGCUUUGACGGGUAGCCGGCCUGAGAGGGUGACCGGCCAAAUGGGGGCGGGGAUACGGCCCAGACCCCUACGGGGGGGAGGGGGGGGGAAUUUUGCAAAAGGGGGGGAAGCCGGAUGCAGAAACGCCGUGGGGGGGAGGGGGGCCUUCGGGUUGGAAACCGCUUUCGCUCAUGACGAAGGUUUGUGGGACGGUAGGGGGAAAAGAAGCACCGGCUAACUACG
rnacentral:rRNA from 1 species